GGCCAAAGUAACUUGUUCAGUCUCACUUCCCCUUACUGGCCAUGCAGGAGUACACAUAUGACUAUUAGGACUGGUGGAGCGAUAUUAUUCAUCUUAAACAGUAUUGGAAGCAAAAAAUACCAGAUUACACACAUGUGAAGAACGUGAAGAAAGUGCAAGAAAUCUGUCGACGCAUCUAUUUCUAUCCUAUCCUAUGAAAAAGUUUUGGAUCUCACCAUAUCAAGUUCGGAUACUGGGCCCAUACUCCUAAUCAGGAUAUUAGUUUUCACCACUGUGGGCACGCCUAAGAAAAAAGGGAAAAGAAUGAAUGAGAGAUGAGCCAUAUCAAAACUGGAACACACAGAAUAUUCGUUUUGUGAAAGGAAGAAGAAAACGAGUAUCUAGAUAUGCUGGUGAAAAUGUGAUGUGAUAUAAAAGCGCAGCUUGAAGCGAAAUCGAAUCCAGACACUCGUUUUACCGUCUUCAAUUAUCGACUUUGUCGUUGUGAUUUGUGAGAGAUGCAUGCAAAGCGUUUGCACAUGGCGUAUAAAACAAGGGCAAUUGCAUUAAAUAAGCGACCUGAAUAACAAUCAACGAUAUUAUAAUUCUACUGGAUGGAAUACCAAGAAGCGUACGAUGUUUUUCAAUCGAUAUGCAAUCGAUAUAUUCGAUAUAUCUAAAAUCUAAAAUCUUCGUAUCGUAAUUUGUAACAGUGUAAAUUGAUAUUUCAAAAUACAUACGUAAAUAUGUCAUAAAA
rnacentral:lncRNA from 1 species